rnacentral:rRNA from 1 species
CCAAUAGCGUAUAUUAAAGUUGUUGCAGUUAAAAAGCUCGUAGUUGAAUUUCGGGGUCAGCAGGUUGGUCGUGCCACUGGUAUGCACUGGCUUCGCUGAUUCCUCCCUCUUGUAGAACCGUAAUGCCAUUAAGUUGGUGUUGCGGGGAAACAGGACUGUUACUUUGAAAAAAUUAGAGUGUUUAAAGCAGGCUAACGCUUGAAUACAUUAGCAUGGAAUAAUGAAAUAGGAAGAUCGAUCCUAUUUUGUUGGUUUCUAGGAUUGACGUAAUGAUUAAUAGGGAUAGUUGGGGGCAUUAGUAUUCAAUUGUCAGAGGUGAAAUUCUUGGAUUUAUUGAAGACUGACUACUGCGAAAGCAUUUGCCAAGGAUGUUUUCAUUAAUCAAGAACGAAAGUUAGGGGAUCGAAGACGAUCAGAUACCGUCGUAGUCUUAACCAUAAACUAUGCCGACUAGGGAUCGGAUGAUGUUAAUUUUUUAAUGACUCAUUCGGCGCCUUACG